AUUGAACGCUGGCGGCAGGCCUAACACAUGCAAGUCGAACGAGUGGCGGACGGGUGAGUAAUGUCUGGGAAACUGCCUGAUGGAGGGGGAUAACUACUGGAAACGGUAGCUAAUACCGCAUACCAUCGGAUGUGCCCAGAUGGGAUUAGCUAGUAGGUGGGGUAACGGCUCACCUAGGCGACGAUCCCUAGCUGGGCUGAGAGGAUGACCAGUCACACUGGAACUGAUAAACGGUCCAGACUCCUACGGGAGGCAGCAAUGGGGAAUAUUGCACAAGGGGCGCAAGCCUUAUACAGCCAUGCCGCGGGUAUGAAGAAGGCCUUAGGGUUGUAAAGUACUUUCAGCUGGGAGGCGUUACCCGCAGAAGAAGCACCGGCUAACUCAGUGCCAGCAGCCGCGGUAAUUC
rnacentral:rRNA from 1 species